UGGCGGCUACAGCUGAGUAUGAUCGUGGCUCAAUGAUCCCUACUUGCGUGGGGGUAUUAGUGGGGAACGGGUGAGUAACACGUGAGUAACCUGCCCUUGACUCUGGGAUAAGCCUGGGAAACUGGGUCUAAUACCGGAUAUGACUCCUCAUCGCAUGGUGGGGGGUGGAAAGCUUUUGUGGUUUUGGAUGGACUCGCGGCCUAUCAGCUUGUUGGUGGGGUAAUGGCCUACCAAGGCGACGACGGGUAGCCGGCCUGAGAGGGUGACCGGCCACACUGGGACUGAGACACGGCCCAGACUCCUACGGGAGGCAGCAGUGGGGAAUAUUGCACAAUGGGCGCAAGCCUGAUGCAGCGACGCCGCGUGAGGGAUGACGGCCUUCGGGUUGUAAACCUCUUUCAGUAGGGAAGAAGCGUAAGUGACGGUACCUGCAGAAGAAGCGCCGGCUAACUACGUGCCAGCAGCCGCGGUAAUACGUAGGGCGCAAGCGUUAUCCGGAAUUAUUGGGCGUAAAGAGCUCGUAGGCGGUUUGUCGCGUCUGCUGUGAAAGACCGGGGCUCAACUCCGGUUCUGCAGUGGGUACGGGCAGACUAGAGUGCAGUAGGGGAGACUGGAAUUCCUGGUGUAGCGGUGAAAUGCGCAGAUAUCAGGAGGAACACCGAUGGCGAAGGCAGGUCUCUGGGCUGUAACUGACGCUGAGGAGCGAAAGCAUGGGGAGCGAACAGGAUUAGAUACCCUGGUAGUCCAUGCCGUAAACGUUGGGCACUAGGUGUGGGGGACAUUCCACGUUUUCCGCGCCGUAGCUAACGCAUUAAGUGCCCCGCCUGGGGAGUACGGCCGCAAGGCUAAAACUCAAAGGAAUUGACGGGGGCCCGCACAAGCGGCGGAGCAUGCGGAUUAAUUCGAUGCAACGCGAAGAACCUUACCAAGGCUUGACAUGAACCGGAAAGACCUGGAAACAGGUGCCCCGCUUGCGGUCGGUUUACAGGUGGUGCAUGGUUGUCGUCAGCUCGUGUCGUGAGAUGUUGGGUUAAGUCCCGCAACGAGCGCAACCCUCGUUCUAUGUUGCCAGCGGUUCGGCCGGGGACUCAUAGGAGACUGCCGGGGUCAACUCGGAGGAAGGUGGGGACGACGUCAAAUCAUCAUGCCCCUUAUGUCUUGGGCUUCACGCAUGCUACAAUGGCCGGUACAAAGGGUUGCGAUACUGUGAGGUGGAGCUAAUCCCAAAAAGCCGGUCUCAGUUCGGAUUGGGGUCUGCAACUCGACCCCAUGAAGUCGGAGUCGCUAGUAAUCGCAGAUCAGCAACGCUGCGGUGAAUACGUUCCCGGGCCUUGUACACCCCGCCCGUCAAGUCAGGAACAGUUGGUACCACCGAAAUUGCUCUGGCCUCACCAAGUCGUAACAACGGUACCAUAGAGUCUGCCA
rnacentral:rRNA from 1 species